AAUAGAUACCCAGGUAGUCCACGCCGUAAACGAUGAGUGCUAAGUGUUAGGGGGUUUCCGCCCCUUAGUGCUGCAGCUAACGCAUUAAGCACUCCGCCUGGGGAGUACGGUCGCAAGACUGAAACUCAAAGGAAUUGACGGGGGCCCGCACAAGCGGUGGAGCAUGUGGUUUAAUUCGAAGCAACGCGAAGAACCUUACCAGGUCUUGACAUCCCGCUGACCGCUAUGGAGACAUAGCUUUCCCUUCGGGGACAGCGGUGACAGGUGGUGCAUGGUUGUCGUCAGCUCGUGUCGUGAGAUGUUGGGUUAAGUCCCGCAACGAGCGCAACCCUUGUCCUUAGUUGCCAUCAUUCAGUUGGGCACUCUAAGGAGACUGCCGUACAAAUACGGAGGAAGGUGGGGAUGACGUCAAAUCAUCAUGCCCCUUAUGACCUGGGCUACACACGUGCUACAAUGGACGGUACAAACGGUUGCGAAGUCGCGAGACGGAGCCAAUCCGAGAAAGCCGUUCUCAGUUCGGAUUGCAGG
rnacentral:rRNA from 1 species